AACGAACGCUGGCGGCAGACUUAACACAUGCAAGUCGAACGAGAUCUUCGGAUCUAGUGGCAGACGGGUGAGGAACACGUGGGAACAUCCCCUUCAGUUCGGAAUAACGUUGGGAAACUAACGCUAAUACCGGAUACGUCCUUCGGGAGAAAGAUUUAUCGCUGAAAGAUUGGCCCGCGUCUGAUUAGCUAGUUGGUGAGGUAAUGGCUCACCAAGGCUACGAUCAGUAGCUGAUCUGAGAGGAUGAUCAGCCACAUUGGGACUGAGACACGGCCCAAACUCCUACGGUAGGCAGCAGUGGGGAAUAUUGGACAAUGGGCGCAAGCCUGAUCCAGCCAUGCCGCGUGAGUGAUGACGGCCUUCGGGUUGUAAAGCUCUUUUGUCCGGGAAGAUAAUGACUGUACCGGAAGAAUAAGCCCCGGCAAACUUCGUGCCAGCCGCCGCGGUAA
rnacentral:rRNA from 1 species